rnacentral:rRNA from 1 species
AGGGUUUGAUCAUGGCUCAGGACGAACGCUGGCGGCGUGCUUAACACAUGCAAGUCAAGGAGAACGGAUCCUUCGGGAUACUAUUAAACUGGCGAACGGGUGAGUAACGCGUAGGCAACCUGCCUUGGAGAUUGGGAUAACCCCGGGAAACCGGAGCUAAUACCAAAUAAUGCAGCGGAUCCUUCGGGAUAUGUUGUUAAAGUGGGCUUCGGCUCACACUUCAAGAUGGGCCUGCGUCCGAUUAGCUUGUUGGUGAGGUAAUGGCUCACCAAGGCGAUGAUCGGUAGCUGGUCUGAGAGGAUGAUCAGCCACACUGGGAUUGAGAUACGGCCCAGACUCCUACGGGAGGCAGCAGUGGGGAAUUUUGCGCAAUGGACGAAAGUCUGACGCAGCAACGCCGCGUGAUCGAUGAAGCUUCUAGGAGUGUAAAGAUCUGUCGUGAGGGAAGAAAAAUCUGGAUGUAAAUAAUGUUCAGACGUGACGGUACCUCACAAGAAAGCACCGGCUAACUUCGUGCCAGCAGCCGCGGUAAUACGAGGGGUGCUAGCGUUGUCCGGA